rnacentral:rRNA from 1 species
CAGCAGCCACGGGAAUACGUAGGGUGCGAGCGUUAAUCGGAAUUACUGGGCGUAAAGCGUGCGCAGGCGGUUAUAUAAGACAGAUGUGAAAUCCCCGGGCUCAACCUGGGACCUGCGUUUGUGACUGUAUAGCUAGAGUACGGUAGAGGGGGAUGGAAUUCCGCGUGUAGCAGUGAAAUGCGUAGAUAUGCGGAGGAACACCGAUGGCGAAGGCAAUCCCCUGGACCUGUACUGACGCUCACGCACGAAAGCGUGGGGAGCAAACAGGAUUAGAGACCCCCGUAGUCCCUGUCUCUUAUAC